AACAUUUAUUAAAAGCUGUGCUGGAUAUUCUGUCAUUACGUACAUAUUGGGCAUUGGAGAUAGGCAUCUGGACAAUCUUCUCUUAAGGGAUGAUGGGCGUCUUUUUCAUGUUGAUUUUGGCUUUAUACUCGGGAAAGAUCCCAAGCCAUUUCCACCUCCCAUGAAGCUGUGCAAGGAGAUGGUCGAGGCCAUGGGCGGGGCUGAAAGCCAGUACUACACAAGGUUCAAAUCGUAUUGUUGUGAAGCAUACAAUAUCCUUCGAAAGUCGAGUAAUCUUAUCUUAAAUUUAUUUCACCUGAUGGCGGGUUCCAAUAUUCCUGACAUUGCUUCUGAUCCUGAAAAGGGCAUUCUUAAGCUUGAGGAGAAAUUUCGCCUAGAUUUGGAUGAUGAAGCCUGUAUACAUUUCUUCCAAGAUCUUAUUAAUGAGAGCGUUAGUGCGCUAUUUCCUCAAAUGGUCGAAACAAUUCAUCGCUGGGCGCAAUACUGGCGGUGAGUGCACCGAUAUGACAU
rnacentral:misc_RNA from 1 species